GACUUAGUGGAAGAAAUGGAUUCCGAAGUUGAAUGCUCACAACCGUUGAGCCCCCAUAGAGUUUGUAUUGAACAUAAAUAUUUUUCAUUUUUUAAUAAUAUUUUUUUACAGAUAAAGUGUUUAAAAAAGUAUCUACAACCUCGUUUGCGCUCCUCGAGUAGAACCAUCACAAAUUGUGGUACCGUCACCAUCUUCUGGCGGCCAUGCAGAUAUAAUCCAGAAGCUGGAUGCCAUUGAGACCCGACUCACUGCCAUUAAAAAGUCCCUAACAGACAAAAUGCCAGAAAAGGCCGAGGUGCAGGCACAAAGCAAAUUAUUGCGCGAAUGCCGCGUCAUAGCGGCAAAGACGCAUCAUUUAAUUAUCCGGAUCACCCGUGACUUGGAGGACGAACAUUACGUGGAGCUCGCUUCGAAACUGCCUAUGUCAU